AAGAUUCUGACCUCACGGUCGAACCUCAUCAGCUGUGCGCUCUGGCUGCACGCUGUUGAACCUCCCACACCUGUGCACUAUUCGGUUGUAGCCUACUUAAGUGGGCCGCUUCCGCCUUUACAUUACACUACAGUCAUGAAUGUCACAACUAUAAAAGUAA
rnacentral:misc_RNA from 1 species